CCUACGGGAGGCAGCAGUGAGGAAUAUUGGUCAAUGGACGAGAGUCUGAACCAGCCAAGUAGCGUGAAGGAUGACUGCCCUAUGGGUUGUAAACUUCUUUUAUAUGGGAAUAAAACGUUCCACGUGUGGGAUUUUGUAUGUACCCUAUGAAUAAGGAUCGGCUAACUCCGUGCCAGCAGCCGCGGUAAUACGGAGGAUCCGAGCGUUAUCCGGAUUUAUUGGGUUUAAAGGGAGCGUAGGUGGAUUGUUAAGUCAGUUGUGAAAGUUUGCGGCUCAACCGUAAAAUUGCAGUUGAAACUGGCAGUCUUGAGUACAGUAGAGGUGGGCGGAAUUCGUGGUGUAGCGGUGAAAUGCUUAGAUAUCACGAAGAACUCCGAUUGCGAAGGCAGUUCACUGGACUGCAACUGACACUGAGGCUCGAAAGUGUGGGUAUCAAACAGGAUUAGAUACCCGUGUAGUC
rnacentral:rRNA from 1 species